UCAAUAGCAAGGUUGUGGCCACCAUCUUGGCUUUUUUACCCUCCCUGCAGGCAUCCCUGACCCUGGCCAUGCAGGAGCGUAUAAUCUAAUGCAUCUGGAAGGCACCAGAUAGAGGGCGUGCAGUCCAGGGAUGAAAUGUUGUGGAUGCAUGGGAAACAGGCUAGCUUUGGUCACCAUUAAGUGAAGCUCACCUCACCUCCUUUCAUAACUGUGAAAUGAAUUUUGAGUGACGCUGAUUAUAGCAACUGCCGUCUGGCCCUGGUUAAACCUAAUUACAAUCUCAUGUCGGAUUGCACUCCAUUAUUGUUUCCAGGAUAGUUUGGGAAGAAUGAGCAAGACAGAAGAAAGAAUGGAUGAAUUUUUAGAAGGGAAAGUGUUAGUGGACCAUUCAGUCUUACAGUGUGUGCUUCACUUUUCUUCUUGCAAUUUGUUUACUUAUAAAACACAAUCUCCAAUCUAUGUAAGGAAAUCGACUUGAUCUGGUGAUGUUGGAUCACAGGACAGAAAACAGAGGUUGGAGGUCAAAGAAUAAAGCCAUCAUACUGA